rnacentral:misc_RNA from 1 species
GUGAAUCAUCAAAUUUUUGAACGCAAAUUGCACUCUCCUCGGAGAGUAUGCCUGUUUGAGGGUCAGCCUAUAAAAAAUCGACAUCGUUGCUGUUUCACGGUGACGUUCGUCGGAAAUUGGGUCAUCUUAAAUCUUUUUGGUUUAAGGGGCUUUAAAUUUUCUUUUUGUUCCAUUGACGGUUCUAAGGUCUAUUUCUUUACACGUUUUAGGUAUUGGUUUUUACUAGACUUUAACAAUAUAUUGGA